UACGGGGGGGGCAAGCGUUGUUCGGAAUUACUGGGCGUAAAGGGCUCGUAGGCGGCCAACUAAGUCAGACGUGAAAUCCCUCGGCUUAACCGGGGAACUGCGUCUGAUACUGGAUGGCUUGAGUUUGGGAGAGGGAUGCGGAAUUCCAGGUGUAGCGGUGAAAUGCGCAGAUAUCGGGAGGAACACCCGUAGCGAAGGCGGCACUCUGGGCCGGUACUGACGCUGAGGAGCGAAAGCGUGGGGAGCAAACAGGAUUGAGA
rnacentral:rRNA from 1 species